rnacentral:rRNA from 1 species
UACCAGCACCCCGAGUGGUCGGGACGAUUAUUGGGCCUAAAGCAUCCGUAGCCGGUCCUGCAAGUCUUCCGUUAAAUCCAGCUGCUCAACAGAUGGGCUGCGGAGGAUACUACAGGGCUAGGAGGCGGGAGAGGCAAGCGGUACUCAGUGGGUAGGGGUAAAAUCCUUUGAUCCAUUGAAGACCACCAGUGGCGAAGGCGGCUUGCCAGAACGCGCUCGACGGUGAGGGAUGAAAGCUGGGGGAGCAAACCGG